GACGAACAGUGCGAACGAUGUUCGGAAUCACUGGGCUUAAAGGGUGCGUAGGCGGGUUGUCCAGUCUGGGGUGAAAUCCCACGGCUCAACCGUGGACUUGCCUCAGAUACUGACGACCUCGAGGGAGGUAGGGGCGAGCGGAACUGGGGGUGGAGCGGUGAAAUGCGUUGAUAUCCACAGGAACUCCGGUGGCGAAGGCGGCUCGCUGGACCUCUUCUGACGCUGAGGCACGAAAGCUAGGGGAGCAAACGGG
rnacentral:rRNA from 1 species